CCAAUAGCGUAUAUUAAAGUUGUUGCAGUUAAAAAGCUCGUAGUUGAAUUUCGGGAUCAGUUCGUCGGUCGUGCCUUUGGUAUGUACUGGUGUUACUGGUUCCUCCCUUCUGACGAACCGUCAUGUCAUUAAUUUGGUGUGGCGGGAAAUCAGGACUGUUACUUUGAAAAAAUUAGAGUGUUUAAAGCAGGCUCGCGCUUGAAUACAUUAGCAUGGAAUAAUGAAAUAGGACGUUCGAUCCUAUUUUGUUGGUUUCUAGGAUUGACGUAAUGAUUAAUAGGGAUAGUUGGGGGCAUUAGUAUUCAAUUGUCAGAGGUGAAAUUCUUGGAUUUAUUGAAGACUAACUGCUGCGAAAGCAUUUGCCAAGGAUGUUUUCAUUAAUCAAGAACGAAAGUUAGGGGAUCGAAGACGAUCAGAUACCGUCGUAGUCUUAACCAUAAACUAUGCCGACUAGGGAUCGGAUGAUGUUAAUUUUUUAAUGACUCAUUCGGCGCCUUACG
rnacentral:rRNA from 1 species